rnacentral:pre_miRNA from 1 species
GAAGACUCGCGUCUUACCUGAACAAUAUUAGAAGCUUUGAUCUGUCUAAUACUGUCAGGUAAUGAUGCUAGUCACU